rnacentral:rRNA from 1 species
CCUACGGGUGGCUGCAGUGAGGAAUAUUGGUCAAUGGACGAGAGUCUGAACCAGCCAAGUAGCGUGAAGGAUGACUGUCCAAUGGGUUGUAAACUUCUUUUAUCUGGGAAUAAAACGUUCCACGUGUGGGAGUUUGUAUGUACCAUAUGAAUAAGGAUCGACUAACUCCGUGCCAGCAGCCGCGGUAAUACGGAGGAUCCGAGCGUUAUCCGGAUUUAUUGGGUUUAAAGGGAGCGUAGGUGGAUUGUUAAGUCAGUUGUGAAAGUUUGCGGCUCAACCGUAAAAUUGCAGUUGAAACUGGCAGUCUUGAGUACAGUAGAGGUAUGCGGAAUGCGUGGUGUAGCGGUGAAAUGCUUAGAUAUCACGAAGAACUCCGAUUGCGAAGGCAGUUCACUGGACUGCAACUGACACUAAGGCACGAAAGUGUGGGUAUCAAACAGGAUUAGAUACCCGUGUAGUC